rnacentral:lncRNA from 1 species
AUACAAAAUUAUAUUAAUUACAAAAUAUUUUUAAGCAUUAAGCUAUUAACAAAGAAGAAAUUAGUCAGCUAAUUGAAAGCAAGAUACACAGUUCUGAUGAUGAAAUUUUAUCUGACAAUAACAAUGUUAUCGAAUCCAGACACAAACAUGGGCAUAAAAAACACUACUGUCUUUAUUGUGAAAAACUUCUUUAUUGUGAAAAACUUUAUUGUGAAAAACUUCUCUCAAAAAUCCCAAGGCAUUUAGAACAUAUUCAUAAGCAUAAUGAACUUGUUAUAGAAGCCCUUCAUUAUCCAAAAAAAAGUAAAGAGCGAAGAAAUAUGUGGACUUAUAUAGAGAGGAAAGGUGAUUUUAAUGUAAAUAUAAAUAACAUUAAAAGUUCUAAAAAAAUAACAUCUGUAAGAAAAUGUACUGUCAACAAAGAUGAUGAGCUAUUGCCUUGUGAAUAUUGUUAUGGUUUUUUCAGAGCAAGGAAACUUUGUGAACAUGUUUCAAAGUGUUUUUUGCGUGGUAGUGAUAACAAGGAAAUAAGUUAUAUAAAAGCUUCUCGAAUAUUAGUAGGCCAAUCCAGUUUGACCGACAAUGCUAAAAUUGUACAUGAGUAUAUACUUACAACUAUGAAACAUGAUAACCUUCACCUUGUUAUUCGCAAUGAUAAGUUAUUAUUGACCUAUGGAGCAGUUGAAGUUGGUAAAAAAGAAAGAGAUCGUUACCAUGAUGUAGACUAUGCACUUCGAGUUUUAGCUAAGUUAUUGUUGCAAUACAGAAAACAGUUUAAUGCAGAAGAUGCAUCUGCCAAAAAUUUAGUCAAUGCGAUAAGCUAUGAUAACAUUAUUUCUUCUAUGAAAGUUUGUGCCGAUUAUUGUGGACCAAGAAAAAUUGGAAAUCCUCAUCUUGUUUUAAGAAUAGGAUAUUCAUUAAAAACUUUAGCUAUAAUAGUCAAGUUAGAGUACCUGAAAUUAGGAUUGGGCUAUGGUAGAAAAAGGCAGGUGGAAACGCUAAACUGACAUAGAAGCUUUAGAUGAUCCAAUAGAAAAAAAGCUUGCAGAACGAUUUAAACUAUAUUACAUUGAAGGCAAAAAAAAAACCGGAGAUGUUCUUCUGUAAAAGCAUUAGUUCAGAUUAUUUUUACUGAGGAAGUUGUUGGUGCAAUCCGACUAUUAAUCAACUCAAGGCAUUAUGCUAAUAUUUCUCCAAAAAAUAGUUAUGUGUUUGCCUGUGGUUGGGACGCGCUGCAAUCUUUUACAAAAAAGCUUAAUUUAUCGAAGCCAAAGCUUAUUACAUCAACUAGAAAGUACUUGUCAACCAUUCUGCAGUUGUUAGACAUGAAUAAUGCUGAGCUUUUGUGGCUCACAAAUCACAUGGGGCAUACUAAAGAUGUUCAUCAAAAUUGGUAUCGACGUGAGGAUUCUACUAUCGAAUUAACAAAAGUAACAAAAGUUCUUCUUGCUAUGGAUAAUGACGAUACAAGGUGCAUUCAAAAUAAGAAAAUCGAUUCACUAUUACAAAAUAGUUUUGAAGGAAUUGGGAUAUCAAAUGUUAAUACACGAGGAAGUGCUAAUGUUUGCACUUAUUCAGAUGAAGAUGUUGGAGAUGCAAAUAGCAAUGUUUUAGAUAAAAAUAUCAAUGUCAUUGAAAAUGAAUUAAUGUCGAACGUAAAAGAAUACAAAAUAAAAGACUAAACAUGCACAAAGAGUCAAAAAAAACUUGGAAAGGUUGGUCGGAAGAAAAAAACGCAUCACUUCGUAAAGCGUUUUCGAUAUAUAUCACGAGAAAGAUUCCGUGUCCGCUUCUUGAUGUUA